AUGUAAUGCCUAAAACGUUAAUGCAUCAGAUCCCAUUAGAACUCAAUAGUUAGGCAUGCUUGGGCUAUAGUAGUAAUAGGAUGGGUGACCUCCUGAGAAGUCCUAGUGUUUUACAUG
rfam:Picea glauca, whole genome shotgun sequence.